rnacentral:rRNA from 1 species
CCCUUAGAUGUUCUGGGCUGCACGCGCGCGACAAUGACGUUUGCAACGAGAUUGCGAGGCCGUCAGGUCGAGCUGAUCUUGCAAGCUGCGUCGUGAUAGGGACAGUCGAUUGCAAUUAUUCGACUCGAACGAGGAAUUCCUUGUAAUCGCGCAUCAUCAGUGCGCGCUGAAUACGUCCCUGCCCUUUGUACACACCGCCCGUCGCUGCUACCGAUUGAGUGGUCCGGUGAAUUAUUCGGACCGGUGGACUGUGGGGAAACCCGCGGCCUGCUGGGAAGUCUUGUGAACCUUAUCACUUAGAGGAAGCAGAAGUCGUAACA